GAUAGACAGACAGACUGUGUGUGUUCCAUGGGAUGGAUGGACAGACAGACAGACAGACAGUGUGUGUUCCAUGGGAUGGACAGACAGACAGACAGACAGUGUGUGUUCCAUGGGAUGGACAGGCAGACAGACAGACUGUGUGUGUUCCAUGGGAUGGAUGGACAGACAGACAGACUGUGUGUGUUCCAUGGGAUGGACGGACGGACAGACAGACUGUGUGUGUUCCAUGGGAUGGAUGGACAGACAGACAGACUGUGUGUGUUCCAUGGGAUGGAUGGACAGAUGGACAGACAGUGUGUGUUCCAUGGGAUGCACAGACAGACAGACAGACAGACUGUGUGUGUUCCAUGGGAUGGAUGGACAGAUGGACAGACAGUGUGUGUUCCAUGGGAUGCACAGACAGACAGACAGACAGACUGUGUGUGUUCCAUGGGAUGGAUGGACAGACAGACAGACUGUGUGUGUUCCAUGGGAUGGACGGACAGACAGACAGACAGACAGACUGUGUGUGUUCCAUGGGAUGGAUGGACAGACAGACAGACUGUGUGUGUUCCAUGGGAUGGGUGGACAGAUGGACAGACAGUGUGUGUUCCAUGGGAUGCACAGACAGACAGACAGACAGACUGUGUGUGUUCCAUGGGAUGGAUGGACAGAUGGACAGACAGUGUGUGUUCCAUGGGAUGCACAGACAGACAGACAGACAGACUGUGUGUGUUCCAUGGGAUGGAUGGACAGACAGACAGACAGAGUGUGUUCCAUGGGAUGGACAGACAGACAGACAGACAGUGUGUGUUCCAUGUGAUAGAUAGAUGGAUAGACAGACAUACAUACUGUGUGUGUUCCAUGGGAUGGACAGAUGGAUAGACAGACAGACAGACAGACAGACUGUGUGUGUUCCAUGGGAUGGACGGACAGACAGACUGUGUGUGUUCCAUGGGAUGGACGGACAGACAGACAGACAGACAGACUGUGUGUGUUCCAUGGGAUGGAUGGACAGACAGACAGACAGACUGUGUGUGUUCCAUGGGAUGGACAGACAGACAGACUGUGUGUGUUCCAUGGGAUGGACAGACAGACAGACAGACAGACAGACUGUGUUCCAUGGGAUGGACAGACAGACAGACAGACUGUGUUCCAUGGGAUGCACAGACAGACAGACAGACAGACAGACAGACAGUGUGUGUUCCAUGGGAUGCACAGACAGACAGACAGACAGACAGACAGUGUGUGUUCCAUGGGAUGCACAGACAGACAGACAGACAG